rnacentral:rRNA from 1 species
AGAGUUUGAUCCUGGCUCAGGAUGAACGCUAGCUACAGGCUUAACACAUGCAAGUCGAGGGGCAUCAGGAAGAAAGCUUGCUUUCUUUGCUGGCGACCGGCGCACGGGUGAGUAACACGUAUCCAACCUGCCCUUUACUCGGGGAUAGCCUUUCGAAAGAAAGAUUAAUACCCGAUGGGAUAAUUAUUCCGCAUGGUUUGAUUAUUAAAGGAUUCCGGUAAAGGAUGGGGAUGCGUUCCAUUAGGUUGUUGGUGAGGUAACGGCUCACCAAGCCUUCGAUGGAUAGGGGUUCUGAGAGGAAGGUCCCCCACAUUGGAACUGAGACACGGUCCAAACUCCUACGGGAGGCAGCAGUGAGGAAUAUUGGUCAAUGGGCGCUAGCCUGAACCAGCCAAGUAGCGUGAAGGAUGAAGGCUCUAUGGGUCGUAAACUUCUUUUAUAUAAGAAUAAAGUGCAGUAUGUAUACUGUUUUGUAUGUAUUAUAUGAAUAAGGAUCGGCUAACUCCGUGCCAGCAGCCGCGGUAAUACGGAGGAUCCGAGCGUUAUCCGGAUUUAUUGGGUUUAAAGGGAGCGUAGGUGGACUGGUAAGUCAGUUGUGAAAGUUUGCGGCUCAACCGUAAAAUUGCAGUUGAUACUGUCAGUCUUGAGUACAGUAGAGGUGGGCGGAAUUCGUGGUGUAGCGGUGAAAUGCUUAGAUAUCACGAAGAACUCCGAUUGCGAAGGCAGCUCACUGGACUGCAACUGACACUGAUGCUCGAAAGUGUGGGUAUCAAACAGGAUUAGAUACCCUGGUAGUCCACACAGUAAACGAUGAAUACUCGCUGUUUGCGAUAUACAGUAAGCGGCCAAGCGAAAGCAUUAAGUAUUCCACCUGGGGAGUACGCCGGCAACGGUGAAACUCAAAGGAAUUGACGGGGGCCCGCACAAGCGGAGGAACA